rnacentral:lncRNA from 1 species
AACGAAGGAAUACAUUGGAAUGACGGCGGGGACGUUCAAGAAGAGGCAUGCGAACCAUAAAAUUCACUAACUGUUCCUCGGUAUUCAGCGGAAACAGAGUUAUCAAAGUAUGCGUGGAAACUCAAGAAAAGCGGGAAGCAAUACAACAUCAAGUGGAGCAUACUAAAGCGUGCCCGUGCGCAUACGGCUGGUGCAGCAAGAUGCAAUCUGUGCCUUGAAGAGAAGGUUUGCUUACUGGAAGCUGACAAAAGCAGGAUAUUGAAUAAACGCUCAGAAAUAUUCGCGAAAUGCUGUCAUAGAAAUAGUUUUAGCGCGCGCAAAUUUGAACGCACGCGAGAUGCGUCAGCAAACCGUUAGUUUAGAGCACGUCAUUGAAUCAACUUCAUUCGCCUGAAGAUCGCUUUGAAAGAAGCGUGAAACACAGUGUAGCGACAAAUAUAUUUUAAGAUUAAAGAAUUAUUUAAGCUCUA